rnacentral:rRNA from 1 species
AUUGUACGCUGGCGGCAGGCCUAACACAUGCAAGUCGAGCGGUAGAGAGAAGCUUGCUUCUCUUGAGAGCGGCGGACGGGUGAGUAAUGCCUAGGAAUCUGCCUGGUAGUGGGGGAUAACGUCCGGAAACGGACGCUAAUACCGCAUACGUCCUACGGGAGAAAGCAGGGGACCUUCGGGCCUUGCGCUAUCAGAUGAGCCUAGGUCGGAUUAGCUAGUUGGGGAGGUAAUGGCUCACCAAGGCGACGAUCAGUAACUGGUCUGAGAGGAGGAUCAGUGACACGGGCACUGAGACACGGUCCAGACUCCUACGGUAGGCAGCAGUGGGGAAUAUUGGACAAUGGGCGAAAGCCUGAUCCAGCCCUGCCGCGUGUGUGAAGAAGGUCUUCGGAUUGUAAAGCACUUUAAGUUGGGAGGAAGGGCAGCAAGCUAAUACCUUGCUGUUUUGACGUUACCGACAGAAUAAGCACCGGCUAACUCUGUGCCAGCCGCCGCCGUAA